UACCAUUGUUAAUUCUCCAUUUAGAAAAAUGGAGGUUUUAACAUAUUAUCAUUUAUUUUGUUUCUCUCUAUGCCUUUUUUCAAUCCUUAUCUAAAUAGGUAAAGAAGAUGUGGAUGGUCGUCUUCAUUUUAUUCAACAAAGAAGACGUAGAUGAUGAAUUUCAUUUUUCUCGGUGAAGAACUGUAAAUAGUGAUCUCCAUUUUUUUUGGUAGAAAAAUGAUGCGGUAAUUCUACAUCUAAAAAAAAUAGCACAAUGAUAAGAGGAUUAAAAAGAAAAGAAAAAAGAAAAAAACUGGAAAAACAAAAUAAUAGUGAAUUGUUGUGAAGAAGUUAUGGCAGUAAGGUCAUGUGUUCCUGAAAGAGAGGAAAGAGAAAAAAUUGUUAUUUUUUUAAAAUAAUAAUGAGAAACAAAGAAUAAAAUUGAAAAAGGAAAUGAAAGAUGAUAAAAUAUUGAUUUUUCACGUGUCCAUCAAGGUGGGAAUUACAUAUUUUUGUUUCACAUAUGUAUAAAGUGUCUAAAAUUACUUAAGUGUUAAAGUGAGUGAAAGACCAACUUGCAACUA